rnacentral:rRNA from 1 species
CCAAUAAUCGGUACGGGUCAUGAGAGUGAGAACCCGGAGACGGAAUNUGAGACAAGAUUCCGGGCCNUACGGGGCGCAGCAGGCGCGAAACCUUUACACUGCACGCCAGUGCGAUAAGGGGAUCCCAAGUGCGCAGGCAUAGAGCCUGCGCUUUUGUCCACCCUAGGGAGGUGGACGAAUAAGGGCUGGGCAAGACCGGUGCCAGCCGCCGCGGUAAUACCGGCAGCCCGAGUGAUGGCCGAUCCUAUUGGGCCUAAAGCGUCCGUAGCUGGCCGCGCAAGUCCAUCGGGAAAUCCACCCGCCCAACGGGUGGCCGUCCGGUGGAAACUGCACGGCUUGGGACCGGAAGGCGCGACGGGUACGUCCGGGGUAGGAGUGAAAUCCCGUAAUCCUGGACGGACCGCCGAUGGCGAAAGCACGUCGCGAGAACGGAUCCGACAGUGAGGGACGAAAGCCAGGGUCUCGAACCGGAUUAGAUACCCGGGUAGUCCUGGCCGUAAACAAUGCCUGCUAGGUGUGGCUCCCACUACGAGUGGGUGCUGUGCCGUAGUGAAGCCGCUAAGCAGGCCGCCUGGGAAGUACGUCCGCAAGGAUGAAACUUAAAGGAAUUGGCGGGGGAGCACUACAACCGGAGGAGCCUGCGGUUUAAUUGGAUUCAACGCCGGAA